GAUGAACGCUGGCGGCAUGCCUAACACAUGCAAGUCGAACGAUGCCUUCGGGCAUAGUGGCGCACGGGUGCGUAACGCGUGGGAAUCUGCCCUUGGGUUCGGAAUAACUCAGAGAAAUUUGAGCUAAUACCGGAUGAUGACGUAAGUCCAAAGAUUUAUCGCCCAAGGAUGAGCCCGCGUAAGAUUAGCUAGUUGGUGGGGUAAAGGCCUACCAAGGCGACGAUCUUUAGCUGGUCUGAGAGGAUGAUCAGCCACACUGGGACUGAGACACGGCCCAGACUCCUACGGGAGGCAGCAGUGGGGAAUAUUGGACAAUGGGCGAAAGCCUGAUCCAGCAAUGCCGCGUGAGUGAUGAAGGCCUUAGGGUUGUAAAGCUCUUUUACCAGGGAUGAUAAUGACAGUACCUGGAGAAUAAGCUCCGGCUAACUCCGUUGCCAGCAGCCGCGGUAAU
rnacentral:rRNA from 1 species